rnacentral:rRNA from 1 species
AGCAUAUCAAUAAGCGGAGGAAAAGAAACCAACAGGGAUUGCCCUAGUAACGGCGAGUGAAGCGGCGACAGCUCAAAUUUGAAAUCUGGCGCAAGCCCGAGUUGUAAUUUGUAGAGGAUGCUUCUGGGUAGCGGCCGGUCUAAGUCCCUUGGAACAGGGCGUCAUAGAGGGUGAGAAUCCCGUAUGCGACCGGCUGAGCGCCCUCCACGUAGCUCCUUCGACGAGUCGAGUUGUUUGGGAAUGCAGCUCUAAAUGGGAGGUAAAUUUCUUCUAAAGCUAAAUACCGGCCAGAGACCGAUAGCGCACAAGUAGAGUGAUCGAAAGAUGAAAAGCACUUUGGAAAGAGAGUUAAAAAGCACGUGAAAUUGUUGAAAGGGAAGCGCUUGCAACCAGACUUGUCGGCGGUGUUCCGCCGGUCUUCUGACCGGUCUACUCGCCGCCGGCAGGCCAGCAUCAUCUGGGGCCGCCGGAUAAAAGCUCAGGGAAUGUAGCUCCCCUCGGGGAGUGUUAUAGCCCUGGGCACAAUACGGUGUGUCCCGGGUGAGGUCCGCGCUUCGGCUAGGAUGCUGGCGUAAUGGUCGUAAGCGGCCCGUCU